UACGGAGGAUGCGAGCGUUAUCCGGAUUUAUUGGGUUUAAAGGGUGCGCAGGCGGGAGAAUAAGUCAGCGGUGAAAUCUUAAGGCUCAACCUUAAAAUUGCCGUUGAAACUGUUUUUCUUGAGUAUGGAUGAAGUAGGCGGAAUUCGUUGUGUAGCGGUGAAAUGCAUAGAUAUAACGAGGAACUCCAAUUGCGUAGGCAGCUUACUAAGCCAUUACUGACGCUCAUGCACGAAAGUGUGGGUAUCAAACAGG
rnacentral:rRNA from 1 species